CUUUAGGACUUGGAGUAACAUGAGGAGUUGUUUAGGAGCAAAACUGCUAACAGCGGUUUUGAGGAUGGAAUUACUAGAUUGAGAUGUUUACUGUUUUAUGGAAUCUUUUGAACAAGAUUAGUUUAAAAACAGUGGCACCUGAUGGAUAGAUUAGUUUUGACUUCACACUAUAAUGGUAGUUGAUGAACUGACAUUUGGCUUUCAAGAUCUGAGAACCUGUCCAGAAAUUAUUUUCAAAUACAUUGCAAGAUAUUUUGGAAUCUAAACUAGAUGUUAUUAGAUAAAAAAAUAAAUCCUGGACAAUAAAGAUUUUACUUCCUGAA